CACUGACAUUAGAUACCCCUGUAGUCCCAGCCGUAAACUAUGUGCGUUAGGUGUGUCGGUAACCACGUGUUACUGAUGCGCCGAAGAGAAAUCGUGAAACGCACCACCUGGGAAGUACGGUCGCAAGGCUGAAACUUAAAGGAAUUGGCGGGGGAGCACCACAACAGGUGGAGCCUGCGGUUUAAUUGGAUUCAACGCCGGACAUCUCACCGGAUAAGACAGCUGAAUGAUUGUCAAUCUGAAGGUUUUACAUGACUAGCUG
rnacentral:rRNA from 1 species